UCGCUUUCUCCUCUCCGUCGUCUCUCUCACAUCCACUCUCUCAAUUCAUAAACUGAAUUGAAUCUAACAUUAAAUUUUCUUCUUCUACACUGGAAAUUUAAAACCAUUUUCAGUUUAGAUGUUUCUAUAUUUACUCACAUUUACUAACCCUAAACCGAAUUGAAUCCAGAUUUACUUUGCUUCUUCUGCAAACCAUGUCUUCACCGUUCAUUUUAAUCGCUUCCAUUUCUCUUCUACACUGAAUCGUUUAGAAGCUCUAGGGUUUUUGAGAAUUGAAAUUUUGGUAGGUUUUUAUUUGCAACUCCAUUCUCUAGGCUUUAAUCUCUCCUUCUCUUGCAGAAACCUAAUCGAUAACUACAAGUCUUCCAUCUCAGGUGGUUCCUUUGACCUUAAAGUGGUUUGUGUUGCCACCGGAAGGAGAAAGGCUCCAUGCCCUGGUGAGGACAAUUUCAAGGCAGCAGUGCUGGUACUUGAAGAAGACGGGUCCUACAUUUCGAGUUCUCUAUCAGGUUGGGUUAGAGUUUUAAGAAAAAAUAUGGGUUUGGGUCUAUGUAAUGGGCUGAUAUUGAGUAAGCUGGGUUGGACUUGUAGCUAGUGUUCAAUUUUUGGGCCCUCGGCCGUUUGCUAGGUUGUAAUCUUGGCCUGUUAAAGGCUUUUAAUGCAUCUCUGCCUAAAAUUGUGAAAAGAGAGUUGCCGAUAUCCAUUGGCUGUGGAGCCCUGAGUAUUCCUGCGAGAGAUCAAAACAAGUGGGCCUUUCUGCGCUGGAAUCUUUCUUUGGAUGCAAAUGGAUCUUCAAGCUCGUCUCCCUUCGCUUAUACCCUCUAGACGUCAAGAUUAACCAAUUUUUCAUUUCUUCCUUUAAUAAAUACUAUCUUCUUAGACCUUUCUGCUCCCGAGGGAAUUCUCAGAACCCCAACCAAGACGGCGACGUCAUUUUUAGGCCUUCAAUUACUAACCCUCUUCACAACUUCAUCAGCUAUUUAGAAUUUGCGGGGUUCCUUUUUUUUUCUAUUUUGUGAUUCUGUGAUGGGAGAAUGGUAGCUAGAAGUCGAAGCCUUGUCCAUGGAGUUGAAUACUUUUAACUA